rnacentral:lncRNA from 1 species
UCUUAUGUCGUUCAUCGUUUUUCUCUUUUCUCUCAAAGUAAAACAAAAACAACCGCCCCUCUUCUUCACCUUCUUCAAGUUCGCAUCCAACUCCGCCGCCGAAGCUCCCCACCCUACUCCGACCAGACCCACCAUUGAACGCCCCAGAGUGGUCCAGUGCGGCCGGCGUAACGGACACCGUUUGCUUCGACGAUACGCAACCCAUAGCGGCCGCGCCACCCGCUCGCCUUACCAACCCAUCGGAUUCAACGGAGUGAGGAAAGCAGUAGCCUCUUUUUUCUCCUCCCAC